rnacentral:rRNA from 1 species
AUUGAACGCUGGCGGCAUGCCUUACACAUGCAAGUCGAACGGCAGCAUGGAGAGCUUGCUCUCUGAUGGCGAGUGGCGAACGGGUGAGUAAAGCAUCGGAACGUACCCUUCAGUGGGGGAUAACUAUCCGAAAGGAUAGCUAAUACCGCAUAUUCUCUGAGGAGGAAAGCGGGGGAUCGCAAGACCUCGCGCUGAUGGAGCGGCCGAUAUCAGAUUAGCUAGUUGGUGGGGUAAAGGCCUACCAAGGCGACGAUCUGUAGCGGGUCUGAGAGGAUGAUCCGCCACACUGGGACUGAGACACGGCCCAGACUCCUACGGGAGGCAGCAGUGGGGAAUUUUGGACAAUGGGGGCAACCCUGAUCCAGCCAUGCCGCGUGAGUGAAGAAGGCCUUCGGGUUGUAAAGCUCUUUCGGCCGGGAAGAAAUCGCGUGAGUUAAUACCUUGCGUGGAUGACGGUACCGGAAUAAGAAGCACCGGCUAACUACGUGCCAGCAGCCGCGGUAA